rnacentral:rRNA from 1 species
UGGGGAAUUUUGGACAAUGGGCGCAAGCCUGAUCCAGCAAUGCCGCGUGAGUGAAGAAGGCCUUCGGGUUGUAAAGCUCUUUUGUCAGGGAAGAAACGGUGAGUUCUAAUACAGCUUGCUAAUGACGGUACCUGAAGAAUAAGCACCGGCUAACUACGUGCCAGCAGCCGCGGUAAUACGUAGGGUGCAAGCGUUAAUCGGAAUUACUGGGCGUAAAGCGUGCGCAGGCGGUUAUAUAAGUCAGAUGUGAAAUCCCCGGGCUCAACCUGGGAACUGCAUUUGAGACUGUAUGGCUAGAGUGUGUCAGAGGGGGGUAGAAUUCCACGUGUAGCAGUGAAAUGCGUAGAUAUGUGGAGGAAUACCGAUGGCGAAGGCAGCCCCCUGGGAUAACACUGACGCUCAUGCACGAAAGCGUGGGGAGCAAACAGGAUUAGAUACCCUGGUAGUCCACGCCCUAAACGAUGUCUACUAGUUGUCGGGACUUAAUUGUCUUGGUAACGCAGCUAACGCGUGAAGUAGACCGCCUGGGGAGUACGGUCGCAAGAUUA